rnacentral:rRNA from 1 species
CAUGCAUGUGUAAGUAUAAAUACUUUUACUUUGAAACUGCGAACGGCUCAUUAUCAACAGUUAUAGUUUAUUUGAUAGUCCCUUCACUACUUGGAUAACCGUAGUAAUUCUAGAGCUAAUACAUGCGUCAACACCUUUCGGGGUGGUAUUUAUUAGAUGGAAACCUUCUGCUUCGGCAUGUUAAGGUGAAUCAUAAUAAGCUUGCGGAUCGCAUGGCUUCGGCCGGCGAUGGAUCAUUCAAGUUUCUGCCCUAUCAGCUUUGGAUGGCUGUGUAUUGGACAGCCAUGGCUUUAACGGGUAACGGGAAAUCGGGGUUUGAUUCC